rnacentral:rRNA from 1 species
GACGAACGCUGGCGGCGUGCCUAAUACAUGCAAGUCGAACGCAGUGGGGACGGGUGAGUAACACGUGGGUAACCUCCCAUCAGAGGGGAUAACACUUGGAAACAGGUGCUAAACCGAUACUGAUGGAUGGACCCGCGGUGCAUUAGCGAGUUGGUGAGGUAACGGCUCACCAAGGCCACGAUGCAUAGGCGACCUGAGAGGGUGAUAGGCCACACUGGUACUGAGAAUCGGCCCAGACGCCUACGGGAGUCAGCAUGAGGGAAGAUGAGGAAAUGGACGAAAGUCUGACCGAGCAACGCCGCGUGAGUGAAGAAGGUUUUCGGAUCGUAAAACUCUGUUGUUAGAGAAGCGGUAUCUAACCAGAAAGCCACGGCUAACUACGUGCCAGCAGCCGCGGUAAUUC